ensembl:lncRNA
CGCUACACUUCCUGCCAUAUAGUGAACCAGCGUUUCGCCGGCAUGCUGCUGUUAGACCUGCACGGCAUGUGUGCAGCUGUGUACACCGCAGCUGGGAGCGGGUUAACUCCACAGGACUGACUGAGAGCCAGUGAAAGUUCUUGGACGCACCGUGUUUGAAGGAAACCUCUGGAUUCAAACAGUGAAUCUGAGUCGGAAAAGGUCCGGAGACGAGUGUGUGUCUGCAGGUCUGUUGGCUGCUUCUAACCCGAGUCCACUAACAGCAGUUGGCGAGACGUCAUUAACUCCAGCAGUCCCUCAGAGAGCAGGAUGGACUUUGGAAAACAUGGGAAAAUGCCAACAGUACAAGUGGUCACAGCAGAACAUCUAAAUGCCACUGUCCUUUUAAUCUGCGGAUGUGGGCGUCUUCAACCUGGGUUGACCUUAGAAGUUGCUAAGCCUCAACGACCGGCCUUGACUUUGAUACAAAGCUGCAUAUCUAUUGUUGGUGAGUUCUGAGUUGAAUGAAAAUGCCUUUUGGGAGACUGGUUGAUGUGCGGUCAGUGUG